CAGUCGCCGCGGGAAUACAGAGGGUGCAAGCGUUAAUCGGAUUUACUGGGCGUAAAGGGCGCGUAGGUGGUUAUGUAAGUGAGAUGUGAAAUCCCCGGGCUCAACCUGGGAACUGCAUCUUAUACUGCGUAGCUGGAGUGCAGUAGAGGGUAGUGGAAUUUCCGGUGUAGCGGUGAAAUGCGUAGAUACCGGAAGGAACACCAGUGGCGAAGGCGGCUACCUGGACUGACACUGACACUGAGGCGCGAAAGCGUGGGGAGCAAACAGGAUUAGAUACCCCAGUAGUCCCUGUCCUCUUAUA
rnacentral:rRNA from 1 species